AGAAGUUUCGAUCUUGAGUCGUCUUCUUGCCCAUCACCGAUUCGCUACACAGGAGGUUUCCAAGAAGUGUUCACCAUGGAGAAAGUUUACUUCAAAUUGUUUGUUUUCUGUGCAACCAUUUCCCUUGCAUAUUCGUUCAUGUGUUACAAAUGUGGUCCAAUUAAAGAAGAUCAAGAGUACUCCGCGGAUCAGUGCGAAAAAGAUCAGAUAAAGGUCAACUGCACCGGCGACGACAACACUUGUUUCAAGUUCCAUGACGAGAGUACCGAUGGUAUUGUAUAGGAAUCGAGAGUAUGUAUGUAAAAAAGCUAUUGCGAAGAGUCGAAGUAAAUAUGCUCAGAUAAAGACAAGAUGAAAAAGGCCAAGGUAAAAGAGUGCCAAGCCGCUUGCUGCGUCAGUACUGGAGACACACCCUGCAACGGCGCCUCCAUCGCCUCCAACAGCGUGAUGACCAUGAUGAUGGUAGCAGCGUUGGGCAGUUUAAAGCUGUUCUAAACACACAAUCCACACACAGGCAGUAGUCAACCUUUCUGGUUAGCUGUAUCGACUCCGUCUGCCUUUAAUUUGUUUUUAGUGAGUAACAUUGAUUUGAUAAAGGCUGGCAGAAAUAUUUACCUCGUGUAUCUAAUGGGUAUCAAAAAAAGAAUCAGUUGUGUUAUCGAUAUUUUUUAGACGUUCUAAUAUAGAUCAUGAACUUUGAUCAUUGGAGUACCUACCUUGUAUGCAGUUUACCUAGAGCUUAGUACUGUAGAUUGCAUUGAACUUUUAGUGGCAUUUUAGCACUAUUUUGGGUUCAAAACUGCGCUUAAUAAAUGUUUGUCAACUUUGUAAUAAGUUAA